rnacentral:rRNA from 1 species
AACGAACGCUGGCGGCAUGCCUAACACAUGCAAGUCGAACGAGACCUUCGGGUCUAGUGGCGCACGGGUGCGUAACGCGUGGGAACCUGCCCUUAGGUUCGGAAUAACUCACCGAAAGGGGUGCUAAUACCGGAUAAUGUCUUCGGACCAAAGAUUUAUCGCCUUUGGAUGGGCCCGCGUUGGAUUAGCUAGUUGGUAGGGUAAAAGCCUACCAAGGCGACGAUCCAUAGCUGGUCUGAGAGGAUGAUCAGCCACACUGGGACUGAGACACGGCCCAGACUCCUACGGGAGGCAGCAGUGGGGAAUAUUGGACAAUGGGCGCAAGCCUGAUCCAGCAAUGCCGCGUGAGUGAUGAAGGCCUUAGGGUUGUAAAGCUCUUUUACCCGGGAUGAUAAUGACAGUACCGGGAGAAUAAGCUCCGGCUAACUCCGUG